rnacentral:rRNA from 1 species
UACGUAGGGUGCGAGCGUUACUCGGAAUUACUGGGCGUAAAGCGUGCGCAGGCGGUUCGUUAAGUCAGAUGUGAAAGCCCCGGGCUCAACCUGGGAACUGCAUUUGAAACUGGCGGGCUUGAGUGUGGCAGAGGGGGGUGGAAUUCCGCGUGUAGCAGUGAAAUGCGUAGAGAUGCGGAGGAACACCGGUGGCGAAGGCAGCCCCCUGGGCCAACACUGACGCUCAGGCACGAAAGCGUGGGGAGCAAACAGG